AUACGUAGGUGACAAGCGUUAUCCGGAUUUACUGGGCGUAAAGGGCGUGUAGGCGGUCUUGCAAGUCAGAAGUGAAAUUCCUGAGCUCAACUCGGGCGCUGCUUCUGAAACUGCAGAACUUGAGUGCUGGAGGGAAUAGCGGAAUUCCUAGCGGAGCGGUAAAAUGCGGAGAUAUUAGGAAGAACACCGGUGGCGAAGGCGGCUAUCUGGACAGUAACUGACGCUGAGGCGCGAAAGCGUGGGGAGCAAACAGGAUUAGAUACCCUGGUAGUCCACGCUGUAAACGAGGGGUACUAGGUUGAGGAGGUAUCGUCCCCUUCUGUGCCGGAGUUAACGCAAUAAGUACCCCGCCUGGGGACUACGGUCGCAAGACUAAAACUCAAAUGAAUUGGCGGGG
rnacentral:rRNA from 1 species